UGCAGUCGAGCGGACAGAUGGGAGCUUGCUCCCUGAUGUUAGCGGCGGACGGGUGAGUAACACGUGGGUAACCUGCCUGUAAGACUGGGAUAACUCCGGGAAACCGGGGCUAAUACCGGAUGGUUGUUUGAACCGCAUGGUUCAGACAUAAAAGGUGGCUUCGGCUACCACUUACAGAUGGACCCGCGGCGCAUUAGCUAGUUGGUGAGGUAACGGCUCACCAAGGCGACGAUGCGUAGCCGACCUGAGAGGGUGAUCGGCCACACUGGGACUGAGACACGGCCCAGACUCCUACGGGAGGCAGCAGUAGGGAAUCUUCCGCAAUGGACGAAAGUCUGACGGAGCAACGCCGCGUGAGUGAUGAAGGUUUUCGGAUCGUAAAGCUCUGUUGUUAGGGAAGAACAAGUGCCGUUCAAAUAGGGCGGCACCUUGACGGUACCUAACCAGAAAGCCACGGCUAACUACGUGCCAGCAGCCGCGGUAAUACGUAGGUGGCAAGCGUUGUCCGGAAUUAUUGGGCGUAAAGGGCUCGCAGGCGGUUUCUUAAGUCUGAUGUGAAAGCCCCCGGCUCAACCGGGGAGGGUCAUUGGAAACUGGGGAACUUGAGUGCAGAAGAGGAGAGUGGAAUUCCACGUGUAGCGGUGAAAUGCGUAGAGAUGUGGAGGAACACCAGUGGCGAAGGCGACUCUCUGGUCUGUAACUGACGCUGAGGAGCGAAAGCGUGGGGA
rnacentral:rRNA from 1 species